AUUGAACGCUGGCGGCAGGCCUAACACAUGCAAGUCGAACGGUAACAGGAAGCAGCUUGCUGCUUUGCUGACGAGUGGCGGACGGGUGAGUAAUGUCUGGGAAACUUCCUGAUGGAGGGGGAUAACUACUGGAAACGGUAGCUAAUACCGCAUAACGUCGCAAGACCAAAGAGGGGGACCUUCGGGCCUCUUGCCAUCGGAUGUGCCCAGAUGGGAUUAGCUAGUAGGUGGGGUAACGGCUCACCUAGGCGACGAUCCCUAGCUGGUCUGAGAGGAUGACCAGCCACACUGGAACUGAGACACGGUCCAGACUCCUACGGGAGGCAGCAGUGGGGAAUAUUGCACGAUGGGCGCAAGCCUGAUGCAGCCAUGCCGCGUGUAUGAAGAAGGCCUUCGGGUUGUAAAGUACUUUCAGCGGGGAGGAAGGGAGUAAAGUUAAUACCUUUGCUCAUUGACGUUACCCGCAGAAGAAGCACCGGCUAACUCCGUG
rnacentral:rRNA from 1 species